UUUAUUUCUGAAUCUCAGAAACCUGUUAUAAUGGUGCUGCACUGUGUGGAGGGGACGCCAGAGGGCGCUGUGUGUAGUGUGUACACUCGGGAACGGCCAAGCUCCUGCGUCCCACCACGAUAAGGUGUGGGAGGCUGGCGGAAGGAGAAUAUGUCCGUGUGACACACGUGUGUGCUGCUGUGUGUACACAUACCACACGCUGGUGCCUCUACCACUAUGUCCAAGCGGAAAGUAGCGAUGCUGCCGGCGCCGCCCAGUGCUCUGCUACCUCCAUGCAAGAGGAGAGUGUGGUCCAGUCACUCUGCCCCGGGGCAUUCCGAGCCACGGAGGAAAAGAAAGCUGGAGCCCGAGUCUGCCCCGUUAGUGGAGACGGCGUCCUCUCCCGAGUGUGAUCGGCUGCGGGAGCCGCCAGCCUCUUCCCCUCCUCCCUGCAAGAGGCUGCUGGUGUCAGAGCGUCGUCCUGCCGCAGUGUUCCAGUGCCAGAAAGAUGAAGCUUUUUCUGAAUUCAAUUCUUUCCAGUAUUGGAGGACUCCUUUACCUGAUGUUGACUUUUCAGAACUAGCAGUGGAGGCUGGGGAAGAUGAGCAGAGGCUAAAACUUUCUGUGACCGAUGUAUUGGAAGAAAUGGACAGCUGACUGGAAUCCUUGCAAUGACUUUAAUAUUUUUUUCAUCUUUACAAAAACUUUUCUUUUUUGUUCUUUAAACAGAUUUAUUUCCAGCUUUUUUUUUUCAUUGCCAACGUUUUAUGUAAAACAUUUCUAAGAAACAAUGAAUCUAAAUUUACAGACUAUGAAAUGGCAGGAGUAAGGAGUCUGUGCAUCUGUUCAGCUCUAAUCCAAAAUAACUGUGGCUUGCUGUUUCUUCAAAAGUGUAAAAAAAAAAUAAAAAAAAAUUGACCCUGGAUAUAUUUUGUAUAUACACUGUACUAAACUGUAAAUAUUGGUGUCUAUAUAUUUUAUGGAUUUUGUUUUAUUUUUGACAUCGGUAAACAGCAUAACCUGUUUACAGUUAUAGACUCAGCUGUCCUUUUACUUUUUUUUAUUUUCAUGGUACUGUAAUUAUGUUGCAGCUAACUCUGGGAUUUAGCACACAAUCUUCUGUUACUGGUGGCCCUUACAGAUGUGUUGCAAGCCAGUCCUACUUGGAUGGAAAUUCCCUACAACAAAUGAAACGGGUUGUCAGUACUUGAGGGCAAGUUCAAGAUUUUGGCAAUUUUAGUUGCUAGGUUUAAAUCAUUUCUUUUUUUUUUUAAAGGCAAAUCCAGUAUAAUUUUACCUUUUUAAAAAUGCUUCACAUCUAGCGGGUCAGUCACAGAAAUCGUGCUGCUGCAGCUUGCAGACUGUUGUAUUUGCACCUUAGAUGGUAUUCCAGUAAAUGCUUGAAAGAACUCACUACCAUCUCUGAUGACACACACUUGCAUUACUCUAACUUUCCACUGCUUUUAUUUUUAACUGCUUUUUAUUUGUAUGUAGAUCAGUAUGUACUUGAGCACAAUAAAAUUUAGUUUAUUGA